GAUCCAGUCGAAAUACAUGAAAGCUUGGUUAUAGAAUAAUCUCAACGAUUAAAAAGAAAAGCAUUGGAUUCUUCACGAGUGGUGCCUCUUUGCUAGGUCAAAGUGGCCAAAUCUAUCUCCCCUAAUUACAUGUAUAUAGUAUUAAGGCAACAGCCAUUCUCACGCUGCAACAAAAUUAAAUACAAUGUUCAUGUCCUUGAUUCUGACUUCUGAACAAAAAACAAUCAAAUCGCCUAGUCAAUAUAAAUGUACCUCCAUUAACAAACAAGGCAUGUAGAGACAUUUAUCAAAGAAGCGAGGAAGUUAGAUGGUAAUAACAGACUCUCCUUGCAGCAGGUUGUUGUCUUCCAAUGAUGUAGAUCAUUACAGGGAAGAGAGGAGUAUGGAACAUGCCGGCGUGACAAUGAGGGCAUGGGAACCCAUUGAAAGGGUGGCUAGAAGAUUUACGAGAAGAAAGAUAAAGUUAGUGGUGGGAAUGGGGAGGAGGGCGGUCUUGGCUUGUGUUGUGAAGCUAAAGAGGAAGGUUUGCAGGAUCUUGAAUGCAAAAAACAGAAGCAGCAACGAAAGGCAUGUGUUUUUGAACUAUGAUAUGUGCAGUUAUACAAAGAACUUCGAUGAUGGAAAGUGGCAGCAGGAGGAGGUUGAGUAUUAUAGGACUCGAUCUUUUGCUUUUAGAUCGAUCCCUUGAUCAAACACCUUUUUAUUUGUCUGGGCACCAUUCAACAACAUUUGCAAAGAUGGAUUACUUUGUCGAUCACGUACUAAUGUGACUGCGAUCAACGUAGAAUGAUGGUGCUAAUCUUGCAUUUGAAAUUAUGGCCUAGCUUGUCGCGCGGUUCCUGUUCCAGAGACUACUACCUCUGUGGCAUGAAAUAGUGGCACAUGAUUCCUAAGAAGAAACACCUGUAGUUUAAACUUCGAGUUUUAAUUCUAAGGCUUUGAAUUCAAAUGAUUUUUUUUUUCACAAGUGGAAUGGUUGGUAGUUUAAUGGUAACUGGUAGGGACCAACUCAAACAUCACAAAAGUUAAGGGACCAUACUACCAUUUCAAAAGUAUGAGAUAUCGAGGCAAGCCGAAUCUCCUCGAGACGACUCCCUCUCCGGUUGGGUAAUUGGAAGUCCUUGUACGUAGCCUGCCUGGAUUCACCCAGUGCAAUUUUUUUUCAUGUUACUUUUUUUUAUCCUUUUGUAUUGAUUUGUUUCAUGAUUGGCCUUGGCAUUUUAAUUUCCUCAA